rnacentral:rRNA from 1 species
CUAGCGGGAGGCUUAACACAUGCAAGUCGAGCGGGAUUAGCAGCAAUGCUAUGAGAGCGGCGCACGGGUGCGUAACGCGUAUGCAACCUGCCUUAUACAGGGGAAUAGCCCAUGGAAACGUGGACUAAAGUCCCAUAGAAUCAAGAUAUCGCAUGGUAUUAUGAUUAAAACUGAGGUGGUAUAAGAUGGGCAUGCGUCUGAUUAGCUAGUUGGUGAGGUAACGGCUCACCAAGGCUACGAUCAGUAGGGGUUCUGAGAGGAUUACCCCCCACACUGGUACUGAGACACGGACCAGACUCCUACGGGAGGCAGCAGUGAGGAAUAUUGGUCAAUGGGCGCAAGCCUGAACCAGCCAAACCGCGUGCAGGAUGACGGUCCUAUGGGUUGUAAACUGCUUUUGUACCUGAAGAAUAGGCCCAACGAGUUGGGAUUUGCCGGUAAGGUAUGAAUAAGCAUCGGCUAACUCCGUGCCAGCAGCCGCGGUAAUACGGAGGAUGCAAGCGUUAUCCGGAUUCAUUGGGUUUAAAGGGUGCGUAGGCGGCUUUUUAAGUCAGUGGUGAAAUCCUGCCGCUUAACGGUAGAAUUGCCAUUGAUACUGAAAAGCUUGAGUACAUUUGAGGUAAGCGGAAUGUGUAGUGUAGCGGUGAAAUGCUUAGAUAUUACACAGAACACCAAUUGCGAAGGCAGCUUACUAAACUGAUACUGACGCUGAUGCACGAAAGCGUGGGGAGCGAACAGGAUUAGAUACCCUGGUAGUCCACGCCGUAAACGAUGCUCACUCGCUGUUUGCGAUACACAGCAAGCGGCCAAGCGAAAGCAUUAAGUGAGCCACCUGGGGAGUACGAUCGCAAGGUUGAAACUCAAAGGAAUUGACGGGGGCCCGCACAAGCGGAGGAACAUGUGGUUUAAUUCGAUGCAACGCGAAGAACCUUACCUGGGCUUGACAUCCUGUGACAAUAAGCAAGAGAUUGCUUAGUCCUUCGGGACAUCUGUGCAGGUGGUGCAUGGUUGUCGUCAGCUCGUGUCGUGAGAUGUUGGGUUAAGUCCCGCAACGAGCGCAACCCUUGUUGUUAGUUGCCAUCAUUCAGUUGGGCACUCUAAGGAGACUGCCGGUGACAAACCGGAGGAAGGUGGGGAUGACGUCAAAUCAUCAUGCCCCUUAUGUCCUGGGCUACACACGUACUACAAUGGCCUGAACAGAGGGAAGCGAAACUGCGAAGUUAAGCGAACCCCUUAAAACAGGUCCCAGUUCGGAUUGUAGGCUGCAACUCGCCUACAUGAAGUUGGAAUCGCUAGUAAUCGCGGAUCAGCAUGCCGCGGUGAAUACGUUCCCGGGCCUUGUACACACCGCCCGUCACACCACGGGAGUCGGCAACACCCGAAGCCGGUGAGGUAACCUU